UAGGGCUUCCAACACAGACCAGCUCAUGGAGAAUAUAGGAGCAAUACAGGUCCUUCCAAAGUUGUCCUCCUCAAUCACGCACGAGGUGGACAGCAUCCUGGGGAACAAGCCCUACAGUAAAAAGGAUUACCGCUCCUAAACACUCGGAUCCCCAGCUACUGGACUGCACCACGUCUCCAGUCCCCCCACCCCACCCCACCCCCCUCGUCCCAUGCCUGUUCCUCUGCCCGCUUGAGCUACAACUGAAUGACACCCAACCGGCGCAUGAGACCGCCCCCUUCUCCUCCGGAGGGAAACUACGCCAUUUAGAAAAGAAAGAAAACAAAAACAUCUGGAAGAGAGAAGGGAUUCAAAAUAAAAAAAAUAACAUGUAUAGCUAGAUAGUAAAAGCAUAAGAAGCGUUUUAAAAGAGUUACAUCGAAUGGCAAUAGUACAUCAACACUGGCAGAGAAAGUGAAAUGAAUGAUGGGAUGUAUGAGGUCAUAGUUAAAAAACACAUGCAUACAAAACUCUGCUGAAACACUUAAAAAAAGGGGAUGCCGAGGAAAAAAAGCACACGCUUGCUUGGCUGUUGGAACUAACUCGUUUUGAUUUUACUCUUUGCAUCGUAUAUUUUUUUAUCUUUUUUUAUUAAUUUUCGAAAUACUGAAUGCAUACAAGUGUAACUUACAUUUGAUAAUAGGUGUAACGUGGGGAUCACACUGACCAGCGGUAGUAGCGGCAAAAGCCGUAGUUUUUACUUUUGUUUCAGCCGCGGAGCGGUUGAUACUGCUAGCAUAACUGAGGAACAUUUCAGGCAUUCUGACCAAUUUCUUUUAAAUCAGCAAGAUUAUUUAUGGGGCGGGAUGUCUUUUUCCGUUAGACAGAAAUUAGUACAACACGUCACUUAGCAAUGAGAUAGAACUUUGUUUAUACAAAUGGAAUUAUUAUGGUCUGAGCAUUGAGUUACGCGCUACCGCUGCUGCUUCUUAUAUUUAGUGUGAUCCCCACCAUAGAUAAACUAACGCGUCGCACAUGUCUCAUAGCCAACCAUCAGCUUCCGAUGGUUUCGUUUCAUGGCUUAAAAUGCCUCCAUCCACUUGCAUCUCUACCGUUGAAACGGUUCUCCGCGUAGUUCGUUUGUUCACAUCGCACGUGUACAGAAUGCAACUCUUCAAACCUGCACUUUAGGAACAUAGCUUGUGUGGAGUGGCUAUGGGAGGCGCUCUUGUCAGCGGUAACUCCCAACCCCCCCUCGCAGGGAACCAGGUGGAGAUAUUAGCGUUAGCAUGUUUUUUUUUUUUUCAUCGCUAACCACUCCAGUGAUUCCCGUCGGUUCUCUGUACAGACUGCAGAGCCCUUGUCUAACCUGUCUAUCUGUCCGUCUGUCUGUCAAUCUGUUUCCCCUUUGACUGUCCUUACACAACAGUGGCAGUUCUGCAACAAGGGCAAACAAAUAUACAAAAAACACUGAUGGGUGGACUACACAAGUUAAUUUGCCUUGGUCUGACCCUAUGGUGGCUGGUGAUCCCUCAUCCCCUUCCUCCACCCCCCCUCUCUGUUGUUGGGCAUUCAGCUGAGGCCGCCUGCUUCCAGCACAGUACAGACUCACACGUUUACACGGAGAUGGCCGCCAACGCCCUCCAAACCUAACCGAACUGAACCACGCUUGCGUCAUUCAUGCCAGUUUAUAAGGCUUCUUUACAAAAAUAGCAGAGUAUAUAAAUAGAUAUAUACACACACAUACACACCACACUCAGUAUUUAUGAACUGCAGUAUACUCCCAUGUGUACAUUUAUUGCCAUGUAUCGCCAUUUAUCAUAUUUCUUUGCAUGGAUAAGUAUUUAAGGAGCUACUGAAUAACCUAAAUGACAGCGAAACACCAUCAUGUAUUAAGGUGUUGCAACACUGAGCGAGUUUCUCUAAACACUGGCACAAAUUGCCCCGGGGGUAAAAUCACACUCGUGAGCGGGUGGCUGGGGGCAGCAGCCCUGCAGCUCUUGUCACCAGUGGCCUAUAAGAGUAGAGAUAGGUGUGACUGGCAGCUGUACCUGACCAGUAGGAUCACAGAGACUGUUCAAUGGCACUCAUUUGCCCACCCUGUCAGAGCUCAGGGAUCAGAACAGAAGAAAAACUUUUUAAAAAAUCCUGUGAGAAUUUCUCGAGUGACUGAGCGAACAGCAAAAAGGAAAAAAUAAAACACACACAAAAAAAAAAGAAACA